rnacentral:rRNA from 1 species
UGCAGAAUCCCGUGAAUCAUCGAGUCUUUGAACGCAAGUUGCGCCCGAAGCCUUUAGGCCGAGGGCACGUCUGCCUGGGCGUCA